GUAGCUCAGUGGUAGAGUAUCUGCUUUGCAUGCAAAAGGUCUCAGAUUCAAUCCAUGAAUGUCCA